rnacentral:misc_RNA from 1 species
AACUUUUGGCAACGGAUCUCUUGUCUCUCGCAUCGAUGAAGAACGCAGCGAAAUGCGAUACGUAAUGUGAAUUGCAGAAUUCAGUGAAUCAUCGAAUCUUUGAACGCACAUUGCGCUCUCUAGUAUUCCGGAGAGCAUGCUUGUUUGAGUAUCAGUAAAACACCCUCAAUUCUCUCGUUUUGGGGGGAGAUGGGACCUGAGAGCUCCCAACAGCGGUUUAAAAACCCGCUGGCGGGUCGCUUGAAAUGCAGGUGCGGCUGGACACAUCUUCUGAGCUAUAAGCAUUACUUAUUUAGUCCCGUCAAACGGAUUAUUUCUAUUGCUGCAGCUAACAUAAAGGUUGAUUGUCCUGUGCCCGACUGAUGCAGGAAAACAAAGAGAAAUCUUUGUUCAACUCGAUCUCAAAUCAAGUAAGACUACCCGCUGAACUUAAGCAUAUCAAUAAGCGGAGGCU